rnacentral:piRNA from 1 species
UGACAGCCAUUUCCAUGCCUGCAGUCUC